AAUGAACGCUGGCGGCGUGCUUAACACAUGCAAGUCGAACGAGAAAGGGAUUGCUUGCAAUCCUGAGUAGAGUGGCGCACGGGUGAGUAACACGUAGAUAAUCUACCUUCAAGCCUGGGAUAACUAUUCGAAAGGAUGGCUAAUACCGGAUGAAGUGUUUUGACAUAAGUUGAAACAUGAAAGAUUGCCUCUUCUUGAAAGCAAUUGUUUGGAGAUGAGUUUGCGGACCAUUAGUUAGUUGGUGGGGUAAAGGCUUACCAAGACAACGAUGGUUAGCUGGUCUGAGAGGAUGAUCAGCCACACUGGAACUGGUACACGGUCCAGACUCCUACGGGAGGCAGCAGUGAGGAAUUUUGCGCAAUGGGGGCAACCCUGACGCAGCAACGCCGCGUGAGUGAAGAAGGCCUUUGGGUCGUAAAGCUCUGUCGACAGGGAAGAAAUUACAAUCAUCCAAUAGGUGGUUGUAUUGACGGUACCUGUAGAGGAAGCACCGGCUAACUCCGUGCCAGCAGCCGCGGUAAUACGGGGGGUGCAAGCGUUAUU
rnacentral:rRNA from 1 species